rnacentral:rRNA from 1 species
CCUACGGGAGACAGCAGUGAGGAAUAUUGGUCAAUGGCCGGAAGGCUGAACCAGCCAAGCCGCGUGAAGGACGACGGUGCUAAGGAUUGUAAACUUCUUUUGUCCAGGGACAAAAUACGGCUCGAGAGCCUGACCGAGGGUACCUGAAGAAUAAGCAUCGGCUAACUCCGUGCCAGCAGCCGCGGUAAUACGGAGGAUGCGAGCGUUAUCCGGAUUUAUUGGGUUUAAAGGGUGCGUAGGCGGACGUUUAAGUCAGCGGUAAAAGCCCGGGGCUCAACCCCGGCGAGCCGUUGAAACUGGCUUUCUUGAGAGGGCGAGAGGUAUGCGGAAUGCGCAGUGUAGCGGUGAAAUGCUUAGAUAUCGCGCAGAACUCCGAUUGCGAAGGCAGCAUACCGGCGGCGAACUGACGCUGAGGCACGAAAGCGUGGGUAUCGAACAGGAUUAGAUACCCCAGUAGUC